rnacentral:misc_RNA from 1 species
ACAUUAAAGACAAAAAAAGAGAGCGUAUCAACUGGCACUUGUUUGGUCCGAAAAAUUCCCUCUAAUUUUCCAGUAAGCGCGAAAAAGGUUGUUUUAUCUAUUUCGUGCCACGAAGUGCACUCUAUUUUAAUGAAAUACACUUGCUUAGCCAUAGUUCUUUGUGUUAGAAAAUCAUAAAAAAUAUUCGUAAACGAAGUGAAUCCACGCUUGAGCAGUUCACAUCCCCUGUAACGGUUUUCAGCGGGGGGGUUAACAGGUCUUUGAAUUUAUUGAGCAUGGAAGAAAAUAACGAUUUCCAGAAUGAUGAACAUAUUCCCAGGAGAUCUUCACGACUGGCUCUCACUGAGUUAAAUGAAACUGCUCCAGGAGAAAGUACCCCAAGCAAAUCCUCCAAUGUUGAGGAAUUGCUAGUAUUACAAAGAGGUCCAAGGAGGAAGCCUAUAACUUGGUCACCUGUGGAAUAUGACAGAACACGACUUUUGGCUCCUCCAAGAGAAAAAACUCCUGAGCCAGUACCACAACGCAAAUCAGAUAUACACCCAAGAUUGAGAAGAAGACUGAUCAUGUCACCUGAUAAAAACCAGUCACAAGAACUGGGAUUUUUUAUUGCGAAGAAAUUGAAGAGCUUAGAAAAGGUUAUGAAGGUUAGUUAGGUAUAUAUUAGUAUAUACUACUAUUUCCUAUGUAGUUUUGCUUAUAAACAUUUUAUGUUAUACCAGAUAUGUUUUCUGAGUAUACUAUACGUUUUAUUGGGAUAGUUCUUAACAUAAUUUGUUGCUUGAUGAGUUCUGGACAUUAAAUUAAUAACAUCAUGUUAUAUUUGCUUCUGGAAAUUAUAUAAUUUACUACUCUUUUUAAUAUCAUGCAUGUGUAAAGAUAAGUGUUUCUUUUAAACAUGGCAAUAUUUCCACUAGUAUUUUAGGUAUAAUAUUAAACUUUUAGAAACAGAUUGGUGGCUAGUGUAGCUAAAAUGCUUCUUGUAGUAUUUUUUAUUUUAAUAAUUUAAAUAUUUUUCCAACAAUAGACUGUAAGGAAGGAAACAUCUGUCUAGGUUAUAGUGACCCUUACUUUUUAUUUAACUUUUCUUAUGGAUAUAAAGCUCACUCUAGUAGUUUCUUACAAGAUCUACAAAUCUUUCAAUGAUAUUAGAGUUAUAGUAACAACUUAUACCAAUAGUCCUCAAUGAUAACCACACAACUCAAAAUAUAUCAUUUUUCAGAAGAGCAAUUUGAAAAUAUCAUUGUUUAAGAGUUGUUUUUUGUUGGAAGUUAAAAUAACUUUUUAACAUUUGUUUUAAUAUUGGUUUAGACUGUUUAGAGAAAUAUAAUAAACUCUCAAAUGAUUUUUAUUUUUUGUGUUUUGGCUUUUUUUAACUACAAAAUUGUUCUGCAGAAUGAGUUUAACAGAAUGUAAUUAUAGGAAUAUUUCAGUGCUGUUCUGUUGCUAUUAAAAAUUCCGUUCUAGGGUUUGUACAUAACUAACAGCCUCUUCUGUGGUUAUCUGGGUUAUCUCUAUAGUAAUGUGUUUGUGGAUGUCGGUAGUCUUUUCAAUAGUCUGCAUUAUUUUAAUUAAAAUUUGUUUUAAAAUCAAAAUGGCGCCCUGGUCUAUUGGCCUGUUAUCGAUGUUAUAUUAGGCCGGAAAAAAGCAAGCUUUAUAGAAUACAGUCUAAUUUUCUGACAAGCCGAGCAAUUAUCCAUUGGCAAUAAAAUGUUCGAUUGGCUUUAGUUAAAUCUUUGUCCCACUUUUUUAAAUAAUCUUAAAAAAUCGAUGAUGCAAUAACAAACAAAAAUCUGCAUCUGAAACAACAGAUAAUGCAUUCAUUGAACUACAUGAUUGAAUAACAAAACAAAGGUAAAAAGUUGUGCAUAAUCAUCUAACUAAAAAUUAUGCACAUAUUUAUAACAUUUAAACUGACCUAUAAGUUAUUUUGUUUUUUCAGUUCCAGAAGCAUUAGCCCAAACCAUUGCUGUGAUAUGUUCUUUGGAAAUCUUUUCUCCACUACAUAUCGCUCCGUAGAUAGUUGAUUCAUUUUUCAGUGGGAGGGUUUAAAAAUUCAAGAGUAAACACAUAAAAGGAAAAAUUCUAGCCCUUAUUCAAGUUGUGACACUUUUUCAUAAAAACUAAGUAUUACUUUACUUUUGAAUGUCGGUUUUAAUUUAUGUACUAUUAUACAAAAACUGCAUGUUAAAAUAAAAACAAAUGAAAACUACAUUAACAAAGUCAGUUUAUCAAUUUAAACAGUUACUUAACCUAUAUUAUUUUAAUAACUUUUAUGCUUAUAAAUUCUUAUAAAAUUCAGUGUGGCAAAUAGGAAUGUGUUUUUUUUUCAGAAGUGCUAAUAAACCCUUUUUCUUUUUAUCAGUAAUUUUGAUUCUACUCUUGUACAAUUUCUCUAAACCAAAGUUGCAAUAGUUUAUGGAUAGUCUAGGUCUUUUUAUUUGUAGCUCACUGAAGUUAUCUUCCGCAUAGGAGGUCUUAUAAAGGAUUGUAAAUGGAGCUUCCCUCCUAAUUUUAAUUACUUUCAUGCAGCCCAGCUUAUCAUUGCUUUUUCUGGAACUUUCUAUAUUUCCAACUUUUUCAUUUAGUCGCUUUAAGUUAAAAAAUUCGUAUAGGACAUUUCUCUUACCAGAAAAGGGUUUCCAGUUUUUUUUGCGCUCUUGAUGACAUCAACAUAUUCAGCUAGUAGGAAAAUAGGGCCUGAUUUUAAAGACCGUUUAAUUUGGCGUUCAAUGAGGGAAUGUGGAUUAUCGCCCUCGUGCUGUGUGUGUCCUACAAUCAGAAACUUAUGCGUUAUUGAAUUUACAUUUGGGUAUUUUAACAAAGUAUAAAUAUACAUGCUUAAAAUAUAACGAUUUUUUUGUUGUCCCACGCAGUUGUCAGAAUACAAUACGAAAUCAAUUUUUUCUUCAGGAUUUAAUUUUGCUCUUUCUUCAAUGUAAUUCAGAAGACAAGAACCAAUUUCAUUGGCUCCUCUUUGUCCCUGGGUUUCGUCCCAUACAUAGCAGUAGCACUGGUCACCUUGUUGAUUUUGAUUUAUUUCGUACACCGUAUAAUUAAAGACUAAGUAACUUAAGUUUUGAUAGAUAAUAAAAAGAGGACGUAUCUCCCUUGGGGCAUGGUAUUACUGCCUGUAAAUCAAAACACACUACCACAUGAGUUUUACUAAUUUUUUGUUAUCAGACUGUUUCUCCAAACGAGAGAGCUCUUUUUCAGAAAUAUGCAUUUCAUACUCAUCUCUCUCAAGAUUUUGUUUUUCUUCUUGUCCUGAAUUGUUAUAAGUGGCACAAACUCCACACUGAUCUUUUUUAGGUGUGAAGAAUGAGAUAUUAAAUUCACGAGUGAACACUUGGUGGUAUAUUAAAUACUUUGCAUAGGGUACAUUUUUUUCUGUGCAGUCUUUAACAUAGUCCCCGUGUAGAUCUCGACUUUCCACCUUCAAUAUAUAUUUACGGGAAGAACGUGCUCUCGUAUAAUGGCUUUCAAUUCUUGGAACGGAGUUAAUAUGCCUUCGAACUCCUUCUUUGAUACUAGCAUCCAGUUUCUGAUAUUUGCCGUGUUUUCCUCGGAGAUCAGUUGAAAUCAUUCCACCAACUUCAUCUCGCUUACUUAUUACUGUUCUUAUGGGUCGGUCCGUUAUGUCCAAGGUGGAUCUAAAAAAAGUUGCACACGCGAAUAUGAUUCCCGUCGAUAUUGAAAUGAAACGCAGUAUUAUCACGACGUUUGGAUUUAUGCCUAUGGUAUUGAUAAUUUGGUUUGAUAGGGGUCAUACAUGAGGAGCAGACUUGCAAAUUGCAUUUUGUCCAUUUUUACCAAUUUUCAGAAAACGCAAAAAACUACUAUACAAAAACUAAAUGAAAGAAAAAAAAAUUAUGUCAUCAUAUAAUGGCAUUGAGUGUAUGGACCUCGAUUACGAGUUUCUGUACAAGAAAGUGAAAGAACAACUUGAAAAAAUACAAAAAAUUGGUGGACAAAAUGCAUUUUAAUAAUCUAUAGUGGACAAAAUGCAAUUUGAAUGUCAUUAUAAUUUUACAAAAUGAAUAAACUGUCUUAAAUGAAAAAGUAUUCUAUCCAAACAUAAACAUGAAACAAAACAAAAUUAUUAGACAUGUCAACAAAACAAAAAAACAAUAUCUCUUGUUUUUUUUUUUAAAUUUUAAAUAAAGUUAUUUUCAUCAGUUUCAGCGCAUUCGCAAGCUUCUUCACCAUCUUCGUACUCUUGAUCUUCAUUAUGGCUUACAGCAAGAUUUUUAAAUAUUUCAGCCAUCCAUCUUAACUCGGGGUCUGUGUCGUACCAUUUGUCACCAGAUAACAAAACAAUUAAUUUUUUUAAACUAUCAAGUUUUUUCUGUUUUAUUUCAUGUCCAAGCCGUACUUCAGAAAGAACGAUUUGAUCCAAGCGCUUUUUAGCAAAGUUUGGAAUUUUUUUGCUGGAUCAUCCGUCCGAUAUAAAGAUUCAGAUUUUACCACCACUUUUGAGACCGUACCUCUUUUAAUGAUUAUUCUCUUACUUAAGCUAAUUCCUAUUACUUUCUUUAAAGAGACUGAAGCUUUUUUGAUAUUAACCAAUGACCAAUUCGUUCCAAGUUGUCUAAUUUCUCCUACUUGUUUGUAAAGUUCACAAUAUUUUUCAGGUGUUUUUAUAACCGCGUGUCGCUUUAGAAUCUUUUCCACCCUCCCAAAAAUUCUGUCUGCUGGAAGGUAAGAGUGUCCUCGGACUGGGAAGAUAACCUCUAUCUUCUUAAUUGUUUCUGGAGCAAAGCUGUGCAGCCAUAACAUAAGCAUGUGGAUGAUAAAGCUGUUUUUAUUUUGCUCCCCGCAUCCAUCAGAAGAGCCGAAAAGUGUCUACGUUAGGGGCAAAAUUAGUUCUAUUUAAAAAAUCAAGUACUGCUGAUAAAAUUUCUGUGGCCCCUCUACCAGCUUGGUGUUCCAUCCCUGAAUAAAAAACUGGGUUUUUACAAUUAGUGGCUGUAAUGCAAAAAAAGUAAAUUGAAAGUUGCUGUGCAUAAAAAGCAUCUUGUAUGGGAACUUUUGGAAGAACCUGCACUUGCUGCAAAUCAAAACAAAAAGACACUGAGCUAGGUAGUUCUUCCUUCAUUAUUUUAUGGAACUGAGAUGCUCUAACCUUAUGAACUUUUAGUUUGGUCUGCAGUUCGCUUUUGUCAAUAAUAUUUCUGGCAUUACAGAUUUGUGUUGCAGUUCGAACACAAAAAUUACAUACAUCCGUAGCCGGGCUACCAAAGCCUAUAUUAAAGUAAUUAUUGAAAACUACUAAAGUAUUUAUAAUUUACUUUUUUAUCAGCCGACACAUUUUGAUUAUAGAUUUUCCAAAGUUUGGCAAUACUGUAUUCGGCAGAUACGUAUCUCCUCCUCUUUUUUCAGUAAGGGUUGAACCAAUUUUUUUUUUUAAUUUUUUUAGAAAUUGUGUUUAUUCGCCUUUGGGAAACGCUGAACAGAGCCCGAAAGAGUUUCUGGCAAAUUUGUUUCUUAGUACCUUUAAGAAACACCUAAAAGGAAUUUGAACUUAGUUAUAUUUUAAAAUACAUCUUAGAUGACCAAACUUACGAAAUAAUUAACAGAAAAAUUAUGCGGCUUUCCAUUUUCUUUUCGAUUUCGUUUUCUUUGUGGCUCCUUAAUAUCCAUGUAGCUAGCAAGUAAGUUAUCCUGCUUAAUUUUGUCAGGGUGCUCAAAAAACGUUUGGCGAAUCUCUAGCAGAGCUUGUUUUGAUAAUUCUUGGCAAUCAAAAUUAGCAUUUUUAUGAUCACAAACUACGUCAAAAUUGUCGAGAUUGAUAUCCAAAUUUGAAUACCUUAGAGAUUAAAUAAAAAAUAUUAACUUAAUUUAUAAAACCUAACCUUAUAAAUUAACUUAUUUGCUUUUUUCUCUCACGGCUUAUUAUAUUUCUUUUUCUUUUCCUACUGCCCCUAUCAACACUAUCACCAACAAUAUGCUCCCCUUCUAACCCUUCCAUUUUUUUCGAAAACGAUACUUUUAUUCUAGUUUUAUAAAAAGCUAAAGUGACUGGACUUAAAUCAGUUUGUUUGUCUGGGCGAAAUUUACCACCAAAUAACACGGGGACUUAAUGCAGUUUGACUGUCUAAAUGUUCAUAAAAAGUUGGUAUUUCAUCAUAGGAAUGCAACGCCAUCUCUAUCUCAAAUAUGGAAAAUUUGGACAAAAUGCAUUUUGCAAGUCUGCUCACCUCACAUGAUGAUAAAUAGUCUCGUUGUCUUUGUGAAAUUCCGAGGGCCCAAUAAUUUUGAAAAAUUUGUUUUCGAACUUCAGCAGCGAUCCUUGUAUUGCAUUUUAAUUUGCAGGUAUUUCCACACGGAGGUUUCAUUUCUCGGGCGGUUACAAUUUUUUUGGACCUUGAAGAUGAAACAUACUGAUUUCCAGAAUUUCUAGCUAUUUUCGCAGCAUUUUUCUUCCACGUCGACUUAUCGCGUUUACGCUUUUCAGUUCGUGUUGCGGUUUCACCGUCCUCUUGCUUCGCGGUCUCUAUUUCUAUGUUUUCACCUGCUUCAGUUUCGGACUGUUUAGAACUUUCGCUGCCAGAAUCUAUAUAAUCGGGAUCUUUAUCGCUGUCGUCGGAAUUAUGGAAUGGAUCUUCAUAUUCUUCAUUAUCAAAAUUUUGUAAAAUAGCCUCAGGUACAUUAUUCAAAUCCAUACUAUUAUUGUCACGUGAAUGAAUUGAUGAAUUAAAUUUGUUUUUAAUAGGCUCUGGAAAAUUAGAGAAAUUGAAGACACCAUCUGAAAAAAGAAACAAAAUUAUAAAUAUUAAUAAUAACAAUGUAAAUUAAUUUUUCACAAUUAAAUCAUUUAAUUUACUUACUCGUUUUAAUAAAACAAUCUACAUACGAGCCAUCGAGAGGCUUUGCUAAAAGAGUUAUGUCAUUAUUGACAUUGACAGAAUCGGGUUUUAUAAUACGAGUAUUAUUGGUGCGAUGAAUUUGCAUAUUAUCAUCACAAUAUUGUGUGGUACUGCUCGUUUCAUUAAUUUUGUUUACGAUUUGUACUAUAGGUAAGAUGUCAUCUAAAACAAGAAAAUAAAACGUAGUAAGAAUGGUAAUUUAAGUAAGUCGAUAAUUAUUUAGUUAUUGUAGAAAACUGUUACAAAAAUGUCUUACUAUUAAAUAAAUUGAUUUACUUACUCGUUUUAACAGAACAAUCUACAAACGUGCCAUCGAGAGGCUUUGCAAAAACAUUACUGUCAUUAUCGAGUAUCUUUAUAGUAUUUGGAACACCAUCAGCAUUGGGUACUGUACUAUGAGUAUCAUUGGUGGGAUCAGUUUGUAUAUUAUCCUAACAGUAUUGUGUGGUACUGCUAGUUCCAUUAAUUUCGUUUCCCAUAACCUCCCAGCAUGCCGAGGAAUUAUUGUCAUACCCAUUUCGUUUUUGGGAUAAUUUUAUUAACAGUCUUGUUCUUUGACAUAACAUUAACUUACUUUCUAUGUAAACCGACAUAAAACCAAGUGAGACGUUUUUCUAUAAAAUUUUCACAAACCCAACGUUCUCUCACGGGAUCUAAAUCACAACUGUAACUUUUCUAUAAAAGCAAAAGGUUCACUAGUAAAAUAAACAAACGACACUUGCUCCUCCCAGCGGCGACUGGUGAAACUUACAGUAAUGUCGCUUUUCCACAUAAACCUGUGCUGUUUUAGGUUGGUUUUCAGUACUUAUCUGGAAUAUGAUGAAUUUUGACUUUUCUGUCUCACUUUUGUGUAGAAAAGUGUUACUUUUCUACCAACGGAGCGAUAUUUAGCGAUAUUUUCCCUUUUAACUCUUACUGCCGCAAAAAAUCCUGAAAAAAAUCUAUCCCAACUGGAGCAGGACUUUUUUUUUGAAUCGUUAUUUUUUUUUAAGUGUAUUUAAUUAUGUCCUUGGAGAUGACAAAUUAGGUUUUUUUUUGCAAAAAAAAAUCUAUGUUUUGGUAAAAAUGGUGCUCCAUCUUUUGAACCACCACCUUACACCACAUUUAGAAAAAAAAGGAUUUUUUUAUUCAAACAGACAAAGUAUUAUAUUAAGAAUAGUAAUUUUGGAAGCAACUCUAUUGUUUUCCUAAACAUAGAGGCACCUGAUAGGUGUUGCAAAUACAGUCGGUGCGAACUGGCUUUGCUUUGGUGUUGCAUAGGGUACAUCGUUUUGUCGAAGCUUGUUCUGGUUGGUGAGUGGAUAAAUUUAAUCGAAUUUCUUAGACCUGAAGGGCUUUGAUUUUUUUUAUUUGAAUUUGUGCAGUAAGGCACUUGCGGCAAAUAAGGCCCAGCUAAGGAAAAAACUGCUUUAUCGUUAUCAAAAAUUUAAACAAAAACAGGACACUUCAAAUAUUGAAAAUAUGAAGUCUUUUUAACAAAAUAAUACAUUAAUUAUAAAGUUUAUUAUUUUGAUUAGGCUUUUGACAAGCUUUGUAAAAAAAUAUGAAAGUGCGCCUUAUUAUCCGACUGUUCGGUAAAUAAGGCCCCAUUAAAUUAAUGAUGUCGGUUAAGAAGGCCCAUCAAAUAAUAAAAAUAUAAACGUAAAAAAUACAUUUCUAACCAAGAAACAAAUCUGACCACUAAAAUCUAAGAGCAGUUUGGGCAGAUAAAGUCGUCAUCAUCAUCUUGUGAGAAGCCAACACACGCCUCGUGACACCAAGUCCCGCCCGCUAUGCACUGUCUCAUGUCGAUUUUAUCAUGUGUCUGGCAAACAAAACAAAACCAAGAGUCCGUAAUUGAAGGAUUUACUUCAGUCCUUCUUCCAAUACCUUUUGAAGAUGACGGUAUCGGCUCCUUAGAAACAGAUAUUUUGGAUGGCUUCGUGGUGGGUUUGGUAACUUGCUAUGUUAGUUUUUCUUUCGAAAAGUUCAGGGGUUGGUAGUAAUUCUUUAAAAGAUUUUUUUUUAAGAUGGUCAUUAUUAAUGUUUUGAGUAGAGGUAGUGUAAGUAGUAGCUUGUGGGUUUUUGUUUAUUUUGGAAUUUCUCAUCAUCUCCGUAAGCGUAGAUAAAGGCAUGUGAUCUUCAGAGUCAUCUGAGUCAUAGUCACGUGGCAGAUUAUUGAUACUGCUCACAACGGUAACAUUUGGUGGUUCCGUAAUUAUGUUAAUUUCCUGCUGAGGCUGUUCAAUAUUUUAUGGAGGACGCUGAGUUGCUAACGAUGGGGCAAACGCUGAUUCAGGUGUUACACUUGGAUCCAGUGGAAACAUACCAGUGGCUCUAAAUCCAAUGACUAUAUUUUCGGGAGUCAUACAUUUACUCCAGAUUUUGGAGAAAAUAUAACCAAAGCGGCUUUUAUUAAGACGUCGGUCUGAAUGCGUAUCCCAAUAUCGAAGAAGCUCCUGAUUCCAAUGAUACUCGAACGAGCGAUAAACAGUUUUGUCCAACGGUUGGAGCUCGUGGGUGGUAUUCGACGGCAAACAAAACAGUCUAAGUCCCACUUGAUCUGCAGCAUCAACGAUUGAAAUAUCUAGGUGGCUAGAAGCUCCGUCAAAGAUAAGUACAGCCGGUCCGUCGUUCUUGUAGCGAGAUAGAUGUUGUAGAAAUGCAAUAAAAAGUUCUGUGGUCAUUCUACCCUUCUCCGCCAUUUUCACAAGGGAACCCGGUGGCAGACCAUCUUGCCAUUCGGGCUUUAACCUUUUGCCCUUAAAUAUGAUCAUAGGAGGUAUGGAAUUCCCCAAAGUAAUGCAGCAUCCUGCAAUGGUCACGUUCUCAGCAUGAUCAGGUGCCAUGAGAUAGAUGAUCAACCUGCAACCCUUCAUCCAUAUUAAAGAGGUCCAUAUUGCACGUUUUGUUCUUUCUCCUGGCAUUUUAGGUAUCCUUUUGGAGAGAAAUAAAAGAUAGAAACCUUGUCGUUUAAUAAGGCCCACUAGUACUAUCAUUACUUCUUUCAGAUGAAACUAAGACUGCAGCUAUAAGACUAAUAUAGGCUAAUAUAGAGAGAAAAUUAUAGCUCUUCUAAAAUUUUUGGGAGUUUCCGUGCUAGGUGGAUCUAUGAGAUUAUCCGAGUACAUACAGUAUGCAUUCACUACAGAAGCAUCCAGGAAGCAAAAAAAAAUCCGGUGCAUCAUUUAUUGCUUUGACGAUCAAUUUGGAAGAACUGAUCCAUUUUUUUCUCAUUUAACCUCAGUGAAAUCUUUGGGUAUAUGGUAAUUUGAUAAGAGCUGCACGGAUCUCUUGUCUUUUUAUUUUAGAGCAAAUAAUUUGGUGUCGCUAAUGUACCGCUCAAAUUUACCUCGCUUUCUUUGUUACCUUUAAAAGUAGGCAAAACCUUUUUCGAUAUUUUGAUAGUUCCAACGGCAUAGAUACCUCUUAAUUUUAAGGACUUCAUAAGCAAUUCACUGGUAAUAAAGUUAUCAAAAUAUGUUUUGUGAUUUCUACAUUACCUUUACAAAGCUUUUUGUUAAUUUAUUGAUCACUCUUAACCCCAAGCUCUGCUGACCAGUUUCUUCAGUAGACUCACCAGCAUAUAUGUCGAAUUUCAAGCAAUACCCAGAUUUGUCACAAAUCAUCUUUUUACAGGUUUUUUUUGGCAUAUAUUGGUUUAGAAAGCUUCUGCCCUUAAAUUAGAUCAUAGACUUAUCUAUGUAAUACUUCUCUAGGCAACAGAGCAGAGCUAAAUGAUUUUUCAAGGUGAUGCAAUAAAGGUCUCACUUUAUAAAGAGAAUCAAAAUCAGGAGCACCACGUUUGGGCAUUAGGGAAUUAUUAUUAAUCCUUAAAAAAAGCAUAACUUUUGUUUUGGGUAAAUAACAUUUUUUUGGCUUAAAACAUGGUUAGAAAACUGGGAAAAAUAAUUAAAAUUUUCUUUUAAAAUUUGUCUUUUUUCCAAAUUUUUUAUUAUUGGAAUUUUGCAAUAUUGUGAAGUUACAGGCAAAUUAAAUUAUUUUCAUGAAAUCUUUUAAAACAUUUUUUUAAGCAUAAUACCACUUCACAUUUUUUGGCAUAUACCUAGCAUAAUACCUCGCCAAUGUCAGGUUCACCAUUCUUGUUUGAUGAUUUUCACUCCCAGAAUAAAUUUCAAAUUGGUAGGCAAAUCUACACCAAAAAGGCAAAUACACCCUCCAAGACAAAAAGUUUAAAACCCCAAUUGUGAGGUUUCAUGGGCACUUUAGUUGAACACAUUUGUUUAUCGACAGAUAGAGCUGGUUCCAGAUGCUUACAAUUUUUCAUUUAGGUGCUAAAUAAGUGGUCGCAGCUUGUGAAGUUUAUCAUGGUUAUGAUCGUCUUUAGGGAAAUGCUUUUUAUUGUCGUUAAAAUGAAUGUAACGUCUUAUUUUCUCAAAUUACAUACAUCCACUACAUACGUAUUCCAGUAUGAUCGUACAUUUGGCAAGUUUACUAUGAAGGUACAAAAACAAAUUCCAAUAAAUUUCCUUAUGUUAGUGGCAGGUAAGCUAACUUGGUUGUUCGGGUUUUUUUGAACGCAACACAAAUUGGUUUCGUUGACGAUUUUAUCGAUUAAUCAAUUCGUUUAAAAAAUAUCGUUAUAAAUACAUCGUUUAUAAACUGUAUGUAGUCUCCAACGCCAUUACUUCUGCAGAAAGGACUUCGUCGCCAUGAAAUGGUAAUUGAAGAUCGUUCAAGUAAAGAUUAUGCUGCUUCCAAGUUAUGUUUCUUUUAACGGAUUUUUUUGUAUGUUUUUUGAAAUCAUUCUUUACUUUAUUAGAUGGCCCGACCUGACACUCAUUUUCCAUCGCCUUCAUUUGCACUUCAUCACCUAAUUGCUCCUCAAAUACCCUAAGAUCUACUUGAUCCUCAUCGUCCUCAUCUGAAUCACUCAAAAUAUAAUUUAGGUCUGCUUCUGUUAGUAUCCGAAAAAUCCAUUCCAUCUUAACUAUCUGACCAGUUUUCCCAUAUGGAUUGCAACUCCUUAUCACUAAGAGGUCGAUUUUGGCUCAUUUCAUAUGUCAAACUGUGAAAAGACUUCAGAGUUUGUCUUGAGAAUUUUUCUAUAUUUACUACAUCGGAUAAUGUUGCUUAUACGCAACAAAAAUAAAAAAAGAAACUAAGCGCUAAAUGCAAUGUCCACAAAAUUAUUUUUUUUGCAUCUGCACAAAAAAACAACAAUUUUUCACUGAAUACAAAUAAAAUACAUACCUUUAUUAUAACAAUAUCACUUUUUUUACGAAAGUAUAAACAAAUAUGCGGGUUUCCCAGCAAGAGCAAAAUAUAUUACAACGACAACACUGACGAUAGACAACUAAGAAUAUUAAUUCUAAAUAUAAGUAUGGAGCCUCAUCUAUGAGUAACUCUUUGUAUUACACUCUUUAAGAUACUGUUGUAAAUAUGCAACGAUAUGCACUCGCGAAAUAAAAUAUUUCGUUAGCAGUUUAGAAUAGGUGAAAUAGGCAUGUGUUCUAUUUUUGCAACAUAAUGCAUUUAAGAGUUAAGAUGUAGAUGUGAUAAGUGCCAACCAAACCGCUUGAUGGACAUAACUGAGCUAAUACAAUUGUCGUGUAAAUCUGGUGCACUGCACAAAUAAUCUUUAUAGCUUGGCAAACGUUAAAUUCCCAUAAGUAAAUUGAUUCCCAAAAAAGUAAAUCACACGAGUCAAAACAAAACCCUCAUAACCUGUAAAUCUAGCAUGUGUAUACCAAAAACUGUUUGAAAUGUUAAAUUUGGCUAUCCAGAAUCUACAGAGCAAGUACUUAUGAUGCAACACACUUAUAACGUGGUUCAAAAUUUGUAAAGAAAAUACUUUGAAAAGGUGAGAACGACAUAAUUCCGCAUUCUGGUUUGCAAUCCUCAUUACGCAUUAAUUAGGUCGAUGUAGAUAAUUAAUAUAUUGCACUACUAAUCUGAAAAAUAUAACAUUUUGAGUUGUGUCAUUAUCGUUGAGGACCAUCGUUAUAGUAAAACUAGUAUAGAACUAUAGACUGAGAUUCAAUUUUAAAAAAAAUCAUACCUAUUUUCUAUAGUGAUUAUGUAUUUAUGAAUAUAUUAUUUAUAAACUUUUUAUUGUAAAAUCACUUUCUAGUGUAAAUCUUAUGAGAAUGCAGGUAUUGGUAUGAGUAAUAAUUUUCAUAGAAUGUCAAUGGGUUAAAAGUAAACCUAUAAGAGAUUCAUAGUUUGUUUAAACUAAAUAGUUGCCAAGCAUCUUAAAUUAGAUAUUGUUAAAUUUGUAUGUUUCAAAGUUUGUUAAUAUAAUAUUUACUUGAUUGCUAUAUUUUUUUAACCUUUUAGAUUUAUCAUUUAAAUAUAAUGAUUCGAAAGCCUAGCUGCAAUGUAUGUACUCUAAGAUUUCACUGAUAAUUUUCCAACUUGCUAAGAUAAACUAAUGUGAUGAGGUGUACUAUGGUUUAACACUAAGUGUAAAACAGGGGUAAACAACAGUGUGUUGGUAACAUUAGUAAUUAGUUGUAAAGUAUAAUUUUCGAAUUUUCAUUUUCGAUAUUUUGAAUUUUGCACGACAUUUCGGUUGGGAUAUAGUUCGAACGUUAUCAAGUAUCAACGGUUUACGCGUUGUGCUAAAUUUAAAAUAAAGAAAAAUGGAACUUCGAAAACAACGACUUUACUACUUUACCAAUGUCUACCACUUUCAAAAAACUAAUAAUUGAUUUCCCAAUAAAUUAUCCUCUCAUUUGUCUUUUCGAAAUUAGGUGAUAUACUUUACUAAAUGAUGUAUCAUGGAGACUGUUAUGAUUGUUUAUAAAUUGCAAUUAAAAUGCAGCUUUUUUAUGUGAAAUGAAUCUAAGUAACAUAGUAAUAUCUUUUGGGCUUUAGGUUGAACUACCAAAUCAAUAAAAAAAUUUGCAAGUAAUUUAAAUAAACUUUUAAGGCUUUUGAUAUUACAAAAGUCAAUGUCAUGUCAUAUUUAUUUUUUUGUUUCCAACCAAUACAACAGUUUUCGUUUCCCGCAAUUACAAAUUUAUAAAUAUCUUUCUGGGUUAAGGUUAACGUCCGAUAAUAUUAUCUUUAAAACUGAGGUCAAAGAUUUUUUAGUAUUAGGCAUUAGGCGUAUUGUAAACAGAACAAAGAACACCUAAUAUGAUCCCAUUAUAGUUCUAAUUGGAUAUGAGUGGUUCUUUUUACAAAUUUCGUGAUGUAUAUACGACACCUAGGCCAUCUGUAUUAAAUACCAUCUUGAUAAUUCGUAUAUAUUUGCAUGUCUUUUUAGCUUAAAAUUUAGUUUAAAUAUUAUGUUAUCUUAUAUGUCCAAUAACUUAAUUGAUUUAGUUAUGUUUUAGUGGAUUUGCCAAACAAUAUGUAAAGUCUUUAUGGAAAUUGUGCAGAGGGGGAAUUUAAUUAGAGGCUUAUACCUUUUCUCAGAAUAUACAUAUCUUAUUUUACAUAAUCUAUUUUCAAGCGAAGUUUUAUUUUAUUAUAUUGGCCAACAACCUACAUUAUUAUAUACCAACUUAGCUUGUUACUGUUGGAUUUUGUAUUUUAAUAAUCAGCAUUAUUAUCAGUUAAUAUAGCUACUUCGCUUUAGCACCGCACAAUAUCUUUUACAAAACCGAUUUCAGUUCAAAAAAUGCUAAAUAUCUUAAAAAAGGAAUAAAAAUUUGUAAAUAAUUAUAUUAUUAAAAAAUAUGAAUAAAUAAAAUAAUAAUGAUUAGUAAAAAACACUUUAGAAUGCAAAAGAGAUAUAAUAUAUAGACUAUCCCAUUUAAAAUAUUACUCCAACAUCCCAACAAAAUACCUGUAUAUACAAAAAUGUGAAUAAAACUUCGUUUGAAGCUAAAAGACUCCGCACCUAUUCUCUAGAUUAUUAGCCUCAAAUAAAAUGCCUACUCUGUACAUAGUCGUAUUACAAUGUAGGUAUUAUGAAAGAGCUUAUUUUGUAUUAUGAUGUAUACUAGAUUUAAAAGUGCGUUUGAGACAAAAGGGGUCUAAUAUGAAAGACCUUAAUACUUUUGGAUUCGGUCGGUACAAUUUUUUGCAUAAUUGUAAUGUUCUCACACCAGUGCCUUAAUAUAAGUAGCUUAAGUAUAAUUGUUAUAAUUGGAGUUUUUUGAAAAUGGAAAAAUAAUAUUAAUAAAUAUUGUCUAUAUAAAA